rnacentral:lncRNA from 1 species
UGAGAUGUCCUGCCAGCAGAACCAGCAGCAGUGCCAGCCCCCUCCCAAGUGCACCCCCAAGUGCCCUCCCAAGUGCCAGACACCAAAGUGCCCUCCAAAAUGCCCCCCUAAAUGUCCUCCCAAGUGCCCCCCUGUGUCUUCCUGCUGUAGCCUGGGUUCUGGGGGCUGCUGUGGCUCCAGCUCUGGGGGCUGCUGUGGCUCCAGCUCUGGUGGCUGCUGCAGCUCUGGGGGUGGAGGCUGCUGCCUGAGCCACCACAGACCCCGCAGAUCUUUCCAUCGCCAUCGCCACAGCUCUGGAUGCUGUAGCAGUGGUGGCAGCAGUGGCUGCUGUGGCAGCAGUGGAGGCUGCUGUGGCAGCAGUGGUGGCAGCAGUGGCUGCUGUGGCAGCAGCUGUGGUGGUAGCCAGCAGUCUGGGGAUUGCUGCUGACCUGAGCAACUAACACAUUAGAUAAGCCAUUCAGGAGGAAGCCAUGUUCAGAAGACCUUCCCUGGCUUGUUCUACUCUCCUGCUGCCCUCUGUGUCUUGGGCUCUACAAUGCUGUAAUCCUGUGAGAUGUUUUGAAUGUGCUCUUUUAAAGGGUCUGUCUUCUUGUGGACAAAAUAAUAAAGUGCUUCCCUAAC